CUCCAGCCUGGUCUCUCCAGAACCCGGGCCAGGCCCAGCUUGGGCCGCCUCGGAGAUGCGGUCCGGACUCCCAGAAGACAAUACAACUUCCCUCUAUUGGCUACAAUACGUCGCGCCCUUCUCAGAGGCCAGGCACUGGAGAGAGAGAGAGAGAGAGAUCAUUUGAUUACUGCUUGUCACAAGCCAGUGAGGAGGCUCCCAUCAUGAAGUCCAUCGUACAGCUGAGGAUAAGAAGAUCCAGCAGAGAAGUUUAAAAAUUUCCCCAAGGUGCCCGAAUGCUCUGUCACCUGCGUGUCUGGACUGAGCGUCGCACACGCACUGUCCAGAAACCCGGAGCCCAGGGGUUGCAGCAGAAUCUAGAGUCAUCCGUUGCCUGUCUUGCUCAGCCAUCUGCCGCUUGGAGGAAGAAUCCUGACUUACCCUGAGGGAGAAAAGCAUUAGCGCCUGAGAAAGAGAGCCCAGAACAGCCCAAGAGGGCAGAACUGUCCCAAGUGCCGCUAACCCCUGGUUCUGCGCCGGGGGGACCAAGCAGGAACAGGUGAUCCUGCCUCCACGUACAGAAUCUCAAAGCAAGCCUGCCUCUCCCCCUGAGAGGUCACACUUGGUGUCCUCUAACUGUGGCCAGGCGUGGAGAAUCCCGUGGGCUUUGGUUAGGUGCUGUCUGUGGUUUCCGAGACCUGCGGAGGCUGGUCAAGGAGGCGGCCGCACUGAGGGGAGGGGCAGCCUUCCAGCCCUUUGUACGGAGAAACUGCCAUCCCUUGCAAGCCACCACGCUGGGGCUGGGCGACUCCGUCAAGUGGAGAGAGACCCUGGUCCCUCCGCUGAAGAGAAGACCAGCCUGGCCUUGGCUCUAAGGCAGCUCUGGACCUCCAAGUUGCUAGAGCCUGAGCCCCCUGCAGCAGAGACCCCUCCUGACACAUGGUAGAAAGUAGAAGAAGCAGGGCUCCCUGCCCCCACCUUUAUUUCAUUCCUGCAUUUCCUAAAAUCGAGGUCUAAAUUACAUGCAGUGAAACACACAAACUUGCCUACGUAUUCCCCCUUUCCACAACCACCUGGAUCGAGGUCCGGAAGGGACAGAGGGUUCCUUCCCGUCCCUUCCAGUCAACACCCCCCCAUCCAGAGGUUUGAAAUCUCUGAUUUCUACCAUCCUGGGGUUGGUUUUGGCUGUUCUUGAACUUUGUAAAAAUGGAACCCUGCGGUAUUGAGUACUUUUUGUGUCUAGUUUUCUUGUGUUUUCUUUCGUUUUUUUUGUUUUGUUUUGUUUUGUUUUGUUUUUUU